GCCUAUGGCCAUGCUACCCUGAACAAGCUUGAUCCUGUCUGAUCUCAGAAGCUAAGCAGGGUUGGGCCUGGUUAGUACUUACUUAAGAAGACCAGGUGCUGUAGUUG
rnacentral:rRNA from 1 species